UCCUGCUUGGCGCAGGCAGUUCCUCUAGAGUGCCCAACUAAAUGCUGGCAACUAGAAGCGAGGGUUGCGCUCGUUGCGGGACUUAACCCAACAUCUCACGACACGAGCUGACGACAGCCAUGCACCACCUGUGAUCCUGCCCACAAGGGGAAACCGUGUUUCCACGGCGGUCAGGAACAUGUCAAACCCAGGUAAGGUUCUUCGCGUUGCGUCGAAUUAAACCACAUGCUCCGCUGCUUGUGCGGGUCCCCGUCAAUUUCUUUGAGUUUUAAUCUUGCGACCGUACUUCCCAGGCGGCUCAUUUAACGCGUUGGCUGCGUUACCAAAACCUAACGGUUCCGACAACUAGUUGACAUCGUUUAGGGCGUGGACUAC
rnacentral:misc_RNA from 1 species